rnacentral:pre_miRNA from 1 species
AGAAACCUGCUACCGUUGGAUAAAAAAAAAGACGUCUAAGAUUCAUCCACAUCAUCAUGAGUAAAAAUUUUACUCGCAGAUUCACUCAUGAGUUAAAAUUUUACUAGGAGCACAAUUUUAACUCAUGGUGACGUGGACGAAUCUUGGACGUCCAUUUUUCGAUCUAACGGUAGUUUUCAAGUUUCC